rnacentral:sRNA from 1 species
AUUCUGCCCAUGCGGGGAAGGAUGAGAAGCUUCGACGAAGGUUCGACUUGAGCGCCAGCGAGAGAGCGUUGCCGCAGGCAACGACCCGAAGGGCGAAGCGCGCAGCGCUGAGUAAUCCUUCCCCCACCACCA